CUAGUACCAAAGAAAAAAAUAUAUAUAACGCAAACAGAGACACUAGACUGAAAAUGACCAUAGAACUAGUAUUUAUUUUGGACUAGAAUAAAAAUUCCUCAGAUGGAAAAGAAAUGGCUUAGUUCCCUUCUCUUUUACUGUUUCUCUCACACGUGAAUGUCCCAGGGACAUAGCCUGGCUGUCCUUUAUCUUCCAUCUGGUCAUAAUUAUGACUUACUCUGCAGAGUGUAAAGCAGAAGUCUGAUUGGUUCUCACACUGCUCCUGAUGGGCAGCAUUGUCAACAUCAUAUAAGAACAUUCAGAAAUGCAAGUUCUCAGGACCCUCUGGAUGACUGAGUCAGAAAUACGAGAGAUGGGCUGUCAUCGACGCACCAAAGAAAGCUUCAGACUAAAGCCAGACCAUUGCCCUGACAAGAAGAGAGGCAGCAGGCUGAACAUGCCAUGAAGAAUGACCACACACUUUUUGCCCCAUUGAGAUAAAUCAGCUGCGUAUAAUCUCCAGCAUCCUUUUGCUGUGCAGAGAUAUGAACGAGCUCCAACGAACAGAUUAUCUGCAAGAUGACUCUUAGCAAUGUCCACAUGCAUAUCUUUAUUAAUAUUGCUACGUGUUGAAUUGUGUCUCCCUCAAAUUCAUAUGUUGAAGUCCCAAUCCCUAGUUCCUCACAUUGUGACCUUGUUUGGAAAUGUGAUCAUCACAGAUGCAAUUAGUUAGGGUAAGGUUAUACUGAGCAAGAUGUGCCCCAAGAAAAGGAAAAGUGUAGGCACAGACAUGGGUGGAGCUGCAUUCCAUGGAAAGAUGAAGUAAGAGAUGGAAGAUGACGCUUCUAAAAGUCAAGGAAUGCCAGAGACAACCUGCAUACCACUGAUGGGCCAGCUGCUAAUGCUUCCUCACUGGCCUCAAGCCGAAGCAAUCCCAACAACACUGAGACGCGGGCCUCUUGGCCUCUAGCAUGGUAAGACUGUAUGUGUCUGCUGUUUACACCACACAGUUUUCAAAUCUCCAAUGCCACAGCCCUAGUGAAGCAGCCCAUGGAUCAGCACUAGAAUCUAAGGGUCCAGGAAGACAUCAAGGUUUGAAGAUUUU